rnacentral:rRNA from 1 species
CCUACGGGAGGCAGCAGUGGGGAAUAUUGGACAAUGGGGGCAACCCUGAUCCAGCCAUGCCGCGUGUGUGAAGAAGGCCCUCGGGUUGUAAAGCACUUUCAGUGAGGAAGAACGCCUGGUGGUUAAUACCCAUCAGGAAAGACAUCACUCACAGAAGAAGCACCGGCUAACUCCGUGCCAGCAGCCGCGGUAAUACGGAGGGUGCGAGCGUUAAUCGGAAUUACUGGGCGUAAAGCGCGCGUAGGUGGCUUGAUAAGCCGGUUGUGAAAGCCCCGGGCUCAACCUGGGAACGGCAUCCGGAACUGUCAAGCUAGAGUGCAGGAGAGGAAGGUAGAAUUCCCGGUGUAGCGGUGAAAUGCGUAGAGAUCGGGAGGAAUACCAGUGGCGAAGGCGGCCUUCUGGACUGACACUGACGCUGAGGUGCGAAAGCGUGGGUAGCAAACAGGAUUAGAUACCCUGGUAGUC